rnacentral:rRNA from 1 species
AGAAACCAACAGGGAUUACCUCAGUAACGGCGAGUGAAGCGGUAACAGCUCAAAUUUGAAAGCUAGCUCUUUUAGGGUUCGCAUUGUAAUUUGUAGAAGAUGCUUCGGGUGUGGCCCCGGUCUAAGUUCCUUGGAACAGGACGUCAUAGAGGGUGAGAAUCCCGUAUGUGACUGGGUGCUUUCGCUCAUGUGAAGCUCUUUCGACGAGUCGAGUUGUUUGGGAAUGCAGCUCAAAAUGGGUGGUAAAUUUCAUCUAAAGCUAAAUAUUGGCCAGAGACCGAUAGCGCACAAGUAGAGUGAUCGAAAGAUGAAAAGCACUUUGGAAAGAGAGUUAAACAGUACGUGAAAUUGUUGAAAGGGAAGCGCUUGCAACCAGACUUGCGCGCUGAUGAUCAUCCGGGCUUCUGUCCGGUGCACUCGUCUGCGCUCAGGCCAGCAUCGGUUUCGGUGGUGGGAUAAAGGCCUUGGGAAUGUAGCUUCUUUCGGGGAGUGUUAUAGCCCUCGGUGCAAUGCCGCCUACCGGGACCGAGGACCGCGCUUCGGCUAGGAUGCUGGCGUAAUGGUUGUAAGCGACC